ensembl:lncRNA
GCACAAACUGGAUCAGUGAGCUGUAGAUGACUCCCUGCCAAUAUUUCCAGUAAUCACAGCAGCUGUGAAGACAACAAAAAAGAAGCAAAAAUGAUGCAGCCAUGUUCCUGGCUCUUCCUUAGGGAUGCAAGUCCAGCCUUGAAGAGCAAGCAAAGGAAGUGAUCAGAUCCACGAUUAGUUGAAUCCACAGAUGUGGCACUCACAGAGGACCAAUUGUACAUUUAAUGUAGUUUGACCACAAGACCCAAAGUGAUGUAGUAGUUUGAAUGGUGAACUACAGCCCCUUCCAUGCUGCCCCUAUAUCCCAGGAUCUGAUCCCAGAUUAUCUAGCAGUAGAGACUCAUAUAAUCCAAUUUAAAGCAGAUAAUCUGGAAUCAGAUCCUGGGUUAUAGGGCAGUCUAGAAUUCCAGGAUUGGGGUUCAAAUCCCCACUCAGUCAUGGAAACCCACUGGGUAACCUUGAAUAAGCCAUACACUCUCAACUACAAAGGAAGGCAAACCCAUAUCUGAAACAAACGUACCAAGAAAACUCUGUGUGAGGAUCACCUUAGGGUCACCCUAGCCCAGAAAUGAUGUGAAAGCACAUAACAACAACAACAACAACAUUUAACCCAACAGGUGCCAAAAUUCUAUUUUGACAUCAUGUCAUGUUAUUUGAUCUAAAAGACUUCUGCAUUCUUAAUUUUCUUUCCCAAAAUAUUGUGCUAUAUAACUUUAAAUGGAUAAAAUGGGAGGGUAGAAGAAAAACUGAGGGUUGAAUGAGACUUAACCUGAAAUGGUGAUUCAUACCAAACUACUGUUCUCUCGUAACUAACAUAAUUAAUUGUCUUUCAUUCCAAAGGAGUUAGCGGUUCGGUAUGAACAUGUGCUGUUCUGCAUUGUUGAUGUGGACUUGGCAAAGGAUGUGGCAGACCUUUGCAAUAUCAUUGCCAUGCCAACAUUCCAGUUCUUCAUGAACGGAGAAAAGAUUUGGAAGGAGUGGAAGGACCCUCUACUCUACCCCUGUAAUGCAGAAAUACAUAGUAGAAGCACUAAGAAACUGCUAUCCAAACUCUAUUUAAAGACACCUAGAAAGGAAGAAGGCCAUUCUUACAGUUCUUACCAGAGGGGAAUCUCUUUGAAUCCACUGCUUCAUGUCCUAAUCUUUGGUGCAGCAGAAAACAAACCUCUUAUUCUUCUUCCUAAACAUCCCUCUAGUGUAUAAAAUGCCCCAUGUAUAAAAUGAUCAAAGUUUGUUUGGGGGAUUUUAAAAAACAUUUCAAGGCAUGGAUGGUGGAAUCUGUGAUGCAGAAUCUGUUGAUAUGAAGGUCCAACUGUAUUAUUAUUUCCUUGGACCCACACUACUAUUGAUGUAUCCUAGAACGUAUUGGCUUUUUUAAUCACCGGAUCACACUGUUGACUCAUUUCUGGUUUACGGUCUAAGCACUCACAAGCAAAGUGAUUUGUGCAUUAUUUCCCACGUCCCAAAACAGUGCUUCACAUUUAUCCCUUUUGAAAUUCAUUUUGUUAGUUCUAGCCCAGUUUUCCAACAUGUUAAGAUCAUUUUGAAUCUUGAUUUUGUCCUCUGGAAUCUUAGUUGUUUUGUUGUCAUUUGCAAAUUGGAUAAGCGUGUUCUCUGCUCUGUCAUCUAAAUUAUUUAUAAAGACAUUGUGUGGCAAUGGGCCCUGAGCAGACCCAUACUUUUUAUUCUCUCCAGGAUGAAGAGGAACCAUUGGUGAGUGCUCUCGAGGUUCCCAGUUAAAAAUCCACCCAACAAUAGUGUUGUCUAAUACACGUUUUGCCACCUUCUCUCUAAGAAGAUUGCGGAGGACUUUGUCAAAAGGCGUUCUAAAAUUAGAACAUGAUAUAUCCAUAGCAAUCUUCCAAUCUACCAACCAUAUUGUCUAUAUUUUUAAAAUAACAUUAAUCUGACAUGAAUUGUUGUUGAAAAAACAUGUUGGGUUUUAAUUAUCACUGCAUUCCUUUCUAAAUGCUCAUGGACUGGUUGUUUAAUUAUCUCUUAUCUUUUACAACCUUUCCUGAAACUGACAACAAGCCAACUAGUUGCUAGUUGUUUGGAUCUUCUUUUUCCUCCUUGUGAAGAAUGGGACGACUGCUGUUGGGUGCCUUCACUGAUAGCACAGCAGUGUUUAAUCUAUGCGUGCGAACUCAACCUCAUGCCUGCUUCAAGCCAACUUGGCGCAGUAGGAGAGAAUUAAUCAUAUUUACAUGCCAUCAUCUAUUUGCAUAUACGUGAAUGAACAUGUGCACUAGAAACACCUUGCAAGAGCAUUUGCCUAUCCCCUGUUCUCUAGUUAAUUUCCGUUUUUAUAAAAUAGAAACCUUUAAAUGAUAUGCUGGAGAACAAUUUGAAGAGCAGUGUCUAUUUUGAACAGAAAUCUGACCGCCCUGCAACAUGGACAAGUCAGAAUGUUGCAAUGGAAGUGACACUUCACAAACAACACUUCACAAGGAACUCAUGACUCAUUGCGUUGUGGGCAAAGGAUCACAGGAUGUUUUAUGCCGGUCCACUGUCUCUGCAAAACCUUAGAAGGACAGCAGCUUUUGUACCACAAAAGUCCAGUGGUAAACAAAGAAACAAUUUUCUCACGACCAUCUGUUUGCCACUUCAUCAACCGCAUGAGAGCACAAGGCAGCAACCAAAUCCAGCUCUUCAAACAAGUGAAAUUCCCCCUCCUUUUAGAAAGCCACUCCUAUAUAACUAUAAAUGCAACUAAAAGUUACAGUUACACUUAUGUCCUAUUUCUCCACCAGCAUUCCUAAAGACCUUCCCUACCAUACCCUCCAUUUUAAUAUAUUGUUAAUUUUGUAAUUGUGUUAAUAAAAAAUAUUUUUUAAAAAGUUACAGUUAUACCUCAGAAGCUGUUAAAUUAUCCCUCAAUAUCUUACCAUUAUAAGGUAACAUUGUUCUACUUUAGAAACUGGAAACAGGUUUGAUUUACAAACAACUGGUUAUUGUAAAUAAUUAUUUCUAAGGCUUCUUCUACACUGCCCUAUAUCCCAGGAUCUGAUCCCGGAUUAUCUGCUUUGAACUGGAUUAUAUGAGUCUCCAUAGAAUCAUAGAAUCAUAGAAUAGUAGAGUUGGAAGAGACCUCAUGGGCCAUCCAGUCCAACCCCCUGCCAAGAAGCAGGAAAUCGCAUUCAAAGCACCCCCGACAGAUGGCCA